rnacentral:lncRNA from 1 species
GAAAAUGAGAUAAUAGAUUCAGAUGAAUAUUCAGUGGAUAUGGAAACGAAGAUUCGCCACAUACGUAAGUUCAUACAAAAUGUCCAAACACCGCAGUCCCGUCAUAUUAAAUCACAUACAACAACCCACACAUUAAAUCCAGAAACUAUACCGUUUGUUCCAACGCACAACAUAGCCAACCCACACAACGCACAGUCGUUUGAGAACCCGUCUGUACAAGCCAGUCACACGUUCAACACACAGCAAAGUACAUUUUCGUCAGCUAGUAGUCACCGCCUACCCAAACUUUCGCUUCCAAUAUUCUCAGGCAACAUCUUAGAAUGGCAAACUUUCUGGGACUCAUUCGAGUCGCCGUACACCUUAACUUGUCACUUACAAAUGUACAAAAAUUCAAUUACUUGAAAGCACAGCUAGAACAUGAAGCACUAGAUUCUAUAGCAGGGUUCGCACUAACAAAUGUAAACUACGAUGAAGCCGUAAAUCUAUUAAAAGAGAGGUUCGGUCAACAAGACAAAAUCAUAAAUGCAUACAUGCAGGCAUUAUUAGAAAUCCCUUCGCCUAGAAAUUAACUAACAAGCUUA